GACGUAGGAGGCGAGCGUUGUCCGGAUUCAUUGGGCGUAAAGAGCACGCAGGCGGUUUGGCAAGUCGGAUGUGAAAACCCGAGGCUCAACCUCGGGCCUGCAGUCGAUACGGGCAAACUAGAGUACUGCAGGGGAGACUGGAAUUCCUGGUGUAGCGGUGAAAUGCGCAGAUAUCAGGAGGAACACCGGUGGCGAAGGCGGGUCUCUGGGCAGUAACUGACGCUGAGGAGCGAAAGCGUGGGGAGCGAACAGG
rnacentral:rRNA from 1 species